GCCCGCCAGGGUCUGCAGGUGUCCUCGAGGGUCAGGCCGGCCGCCGACCUGCCGUGAGCGCCUUUCCAGUCCGUAAUUCUUUUUUGAAGUCACGUUCGGUGGAAGAAGUCUGUUUACACAGUAGGAGGGGUUUAUGGUGUUUGGGGGCUUUGAGCACUGACAGCGGCUGCACGCGGGGUUGGCCGUCCCCAGCCCGGGCCCAGCGCAGGCAGGCGGACCGUGAGGCCUGGAGAGGAAAACGUGAACUAGCCGGCAGUUACAAGGCGUUUUGAACGUUACUGUAGAAUAUUACACAGGAGUGGGUGCAGGGGUCACGGGCCCUGAGAACUGCCCGGUCCAGGGACAAAUGACCAGUCCGCACAUCAGCCGGGAGCUGUCCAGUUCACGUGGCGCCCCUGGUUUGGACCAAGCGUCCCAUGCCGGACCAACCCAAGUACCUCCCAGGGAAUUUGGGAUUAAGAUCAAAAGAACUUGUGUCUCCAGAUGGCCUGAACUAUAACAGAGAAAUCGGGCACCUUCUGACAGCCAAGUGAGCUGAGUAGGAGAAAAGCCCCACCCUCCUUCCCAGGGUCGGAGGGAAAGGCCGGGCAUUACAAAGUGGACCACCCGAGGCGUCCUGCUGGGACUCAGGAUGCUGGAGGUGCCUCACCCCAGGCCCGUCGAAGAAGGGCCAAGACCAUAACAGACCCCAUCUGCUUGACUCUGCAUUUCAGCACCUGUCUUCUUCUACCGUUAGAUUCUAGGAAAACCAUAGAGGUCACAAAACAAAGGCUAAAAGAGUCUCUGAGUGAGGUACCUGGAAGGUCGGGACUUGGCAUCAGGAACAGACGGCAGUUUCAGACAGCAGUGUGUCCAUAACUCUCCUGCUUCCCAGCCUCCUGCCAUGCUCACCUGGCUUCUGAGGCAACGGCCCCAGUCACAGUCGUGACAGCAGCACGGCAGAGGCAGAGAGAGGGAAAGAAAGCGGAGGACGCAGCACAGCUUAGGAGACAUUGUGCUAGUGUCCUUACAACCAUCUCCUGUCACUGGAACUUCCCUGAAUGUGCCUCUGUUCUUUCAAUCUAAAGAUGGAAAUAAAGUAACGAAAAUACAGUGUGGCUGGCAUGUAGCAGGACAUAGAGAAGGACUUGCCUAAGAAUUAGCAACUAGUACACAAAAGCCCCGUGCAGGAGGCGCUGGCCCUCGGCUUUGGCCCCAGAGCAGGCAGGCUGGAUUUGGGGCGAGAGAUGAAAGGCCGUGGCUCACCAGCUGAAGGGGGCUUGGUAGGAAAUGGACGGGUGGAACUCCAGCCACAUUUGCCCAAGCACAGCCCCAGGCUGGGGACCCACUUGGUACAAGGGGCAGACCUGCCAGGAUUUUAAUGUCGUGAGGAUUGGUUUUGUGUCACUUUGCUGGGCUGUGUGCCCAGAUGUGUGGUCAAACAUUAUUCCAGGUGUUUCUGUAAGGGUGCUUUGGAAGGAGAUUAACAUGUGAACAGCAGGCUUUGAGUAAAGCAGAUGACCCUCUAUAGUGUGGCGGGCCUCACCCAAUCAGUAGAAGGCCUGAAUAGAACAAAAGGUGACCUUCCCCGAGGAAGAGGGCUUUCUGCCAGUGGGCGGCCUUCAGACUCGAGCUGCAGCAUCGGCUCUUUCCUGGGCUCCAGCCCUAGCUUGUCCUGUAGACUUUGGACUUGCCAGCCCCACACUCAAUGUGAGCCAGUUCCUUAAAAUAACUCAAUCUCUUUCUCUCUAGAUAGAUGAUAGAUAGACAGACAGACAGACAGGCUGCUGCCUCUGUGUCUCUGGAGAGCCCUGACUUACACGUGGGGACAACCUGGGACAUUGAUGACCACCAAACUAAUGAAGAGUAGACUGCAGUACACUAAAAAAUGUUCCUCCACUAAAAAAGCGAAAGAAAAGUGAACGCAGAGCAGGAGGGACCAGAGAAAACAUAUGACGGUGGUGCGUUGGCACCAGAACAUCUCACCAGUCACGUUCAGCGUAAGUGCGGUUGGUCCCCGGAGGCGAGCACUGUCCAGCGACGUCCAGUCAAGGCUGCCGUCUGGGUGUGGACUGCGGUCCACUGCCCUCUGUGGGCCUUUGUCCAGCCGCCCCCUUCCUGGGUGUGGAGCAUCUACACCGCUUACUUAACGUUCUGCAGGGGAGGGUUGCCUCUUCUCCCCCAUCAAUUGUUUCUUCAGCAGUUUGCUAAUGUCAGCAGGCAUUGGUGGAUAUUGAUAUUCUGCUCCGGGUCAUAAUCCAACGCUACCGCACUUACUUUCCUGCUCGGAUUGACCCAGGCCUGGCCUGUGGGGGCUCUUUUAGCUGCCUCCUGUCUCUCUGACACUCCCUCAUCACCGUGAGUGCUGAAAAGAUAAGGACUAGACCUGACGGGGUUUUAGGACCCUUGUAGACUUACAGGAAAUGGAGUGGGCAGGACAGAAAGACCCGUCCACCCACCCACCCUGGCACCCCUAGCAACACCUUGCGUUGGGGGUGUGUCUGCUACAAGGAACGACCCAACACGGACACCUUAGUAUUAACUGGGGCCCGUACUUCACGCUAGUCCAGGGCUCCUGGCAGCCGGGAUGUUGCAGUAAGAUGGCGAAUCCUGCGGUCAGGCACCGCGGGAUUGCCUUUUCUGUGAAGGGGCUCCUUCGUCUGAGGGGGACUUGUGUGGGCACCACAUGGACAGCAUCCUUCAUCCCUGGUGCUCAGCUGCUCUCACAUGGGUAGGGCACUUCUGUCUCGCUUCUCCUUCAUACGGCUGGAUUUAAAACUCUUAUAUUCUAGCUUUCAGGUCCCGUGUGACACUGCAGGAAAAAUGCUUUCAAGCUGUGCUCAAUCAGGGGGUUUAGGAUGAAUGAGCUUUCAGUACCCAGCCCGGUCGUUAGAAAGAUCUUUAAUGACUGAUGGAUUAAAACCAGUGAACAAGCUUUCAAAUUACAAUUAAUUCAUAAAUUGAUAGUCACUUUCCUUCUUUGAGACCGUAAUGACUCACCGUUCUGACAUCGGGUCAACAGAAAGAAACUCCAAUUAGGCUUUGAAUACUCAUAUAGUUCAGGAAGAUGCCAUUUAGCUGUGGUAGGUGGGUGGAUAAAUUACUUCAGAAGUCAAGAAGCCUUGAGCCAUUGUCCUUUCUGUUAUCUUCUUUUGUGAGUAUGUAGUGUUUCUUCUCAUACUUUUUAAAAAUAGGAGUCGACUUUCGAAGGCUGACACUUGCCUCGAACUUACUAUAAAUGAGGCCAGGACUGAGUAUUGCUUUUGGCUCUCUCUCCAAUUUAGGGAGCAGAAGCCCCCAUCCCCUCUUUUUAAGCAUUGCUUUUGCCUGUAUUCUUUUAAUCCUCAAAUCUAUAUUCACAGUUUUGGAAGCAUAUUACAUUUUUUAGUAUGGUGUUCAAUCAGAACAUUGCUUCUUUGAUUUAAAUUAAUUUUAAAACACUGUUUUUAAAGAAUACAAAUGGCCUUUCAUACUGGGGAGGAAAUAUCCUUGUUUGGGGACCAAAUUCUGUGGCUGGCAUUUCAAUCCUCCACUCACCGGGGGCUGCUCACAACCCCCACCCCAUCUAACAGGGCGUCUGCCACCUUCACCUUCCCAGUUUACCCACGAUCUGCUCAACUGUUCUUACUCUGCGGUGUGGGGCUGGCUGGGAGUACACAGAUCCUCUUGGUCAAAGAUUGGACAACUUUUGAGAGAUUCUUCAACUCAAGAAAGAGCCAUUGUGAGGAGUAAAAACAGCGAGCGUGGGUGGCGGAGAAGGCUGUUCUUGUGGAUGGAGGGUCGCGUCCACAGUGUCUUGGGCCUGACGUCAGCACACGGUGCUGGUGUCUGAUCUUUGGAAGAUGGAACCUGCCUUCGCGAUUAGGGACCAAACACACCUGUCGAGUCAGGUCGAGGUGACAGCUGGGCUGGCCUCCUGCACAGGUCCCUCCUUGCCCUCUGCCCUCACCUUGUGGUCCCCAGGCAUGUGACGUGGGCUGAGGUGUCUUCUCCUUUCGGGGCUGAGAAACCUGGGUUAAGGCUCUCACUGGAUCAGGCUUGGCCCAGCACAUUGUUCCAUUUCCACGGCAGGAUAUAUGCAUGCCCGAAAGUCCGGGAAGCUUCUGGGACCCAGACUGUCUCUGUCCACUCAUGACUCCCAGGCCCUCAGGGCUGCUGGCUCACAGCUUCCACCAGGCCACCCUGGCCCCUGACCCCUGUGAUGGCUCCACGCCCUGCCCUCUGUGUCUGGCGUGGAACAGCCCCUUCAGUAAGCAUCGCACAGCCUCGCAAGCUCGGCCCUGUCUCCUGCUAUGACCCGCGGUCAUCAGUCACUCGGCCGGGUUCACCGCCGGGGGCAGACCCGGGGUUCAAACAACCCGUGUCACAGGACCCUGAGACGUCGUGUGUCAGAUGCUGCUGCCUGCCCCAUACGUGUCACAGCGGCUCUCCGUGUCCUCGGCCUUUAGGAAUCCGAGGACCGCUGCACGGGAGAAACCUGAUAAAGCGUCUGAGAAAAGAAGUUGAUUAGUUUUCUGGAUGAGUAGAGCAUUUACUUCCCUUUGGCUUGAGCAGACGCUUCCCCAAGUUAACAGUGGGGAGAGGGCGCCUCUUUCGACCAGAAAACCCCGGGCCGCACACUCGUCCUGGGGCCCUCGUGGGCAUUUUGAAUACCGCGCUUUCUCCCGUGCGCGGGGCUUCGUGCUCAGGGGUGGCUGUGGGAUCUGUGAAGGGCUGGACGGCUCACAGGUCUGUAAACAUCUAUCGUAAGUCACCUUGGCAGCAGCAGCGCUCAGUUCAUCUCCGCCCAGUGGAGAAAACCGUCUGCCUUCGUCACACUUCUCUGUUUACUGUGCCUCACAAAACAGCGGAACGGACCGGUGACCCAGCCCACACCACCACCACUGUUUGUUCAUUUCACAUAAAAUCGGCUUGAAUGUGUUUUUAAAAACACAGCUGGAAUACACAAGGCGAGACUAGAUAGUGUGGGGUCCAGAAUCAAAGCCAGGAACCGCCCCCCACCUUGUGUCUCACACAGUAACUUUAAUUUACACAAAUUACAUGCUCGCACAGUUCCUCCCUGCCGUUUACUUUCAGUGUAUGAUGUAAGGACAAAAUUACCACGUGGGUAUUCCCAAGGCGGGCUCUGAAGUCUCACUGCGUGCAAACUCAACUUACAGUUUAAAAGCAGCAGGCUUUACUUCAUUAAAAGUAAAUAAAUAAGAAUACGUAAAUACGUUAAUAGAAGCAACAGACUUCAUAAAGCACAGAAAGAGCCUGGAGCCACAGAUGGAUCAUCUGGGGGCCUGCCCCUCCCCCACAAGGGCAGGGCACUUAACUUCUUCCGGCCUGCUUUCUGAUCUGAAACCCAGAAACCGCAGCGUUUUGCUAACUUCAGAUUCUCAUGGCAAGAACCAAGGGGUUCAGCCCCUGCACAACCGGCCUUGGCGCACCGCAACGCGCCGGGCCCCCCGCCAGCCCUCGUAGACCGCGUCCCGAGGACGGUCAUCUCCACAGCGUCUGAGGCUCUCUCUGCGUCACAAGGGGUUGUGUCAGAGUAUACGCCCCCUAAAGCUGGGUGUUUUGCUUUGGUUUUUACAUCAGAAGCCAUGAAGGAUUCGACACAUAACGAUCCUGAAUUUAACAGAUGUACCUUGAAAACUUGAGAAACCACAAGAAUAUCUAAAGGACAAAAAUCAGGCAUAAUUGCACACAGAGCAUCAAAUAGGCUACAGCCUGACUCUCAGUGGCUGCACUAACUCCGUCCUGUGGAUGGAUCACGAUGUGCGCGAUUCAUCUCCCUCUUCAUGUUCCGGGACGUCCAGUUUGUUUUCAGAUUUUUCAGUAUUAAUACAUAAAGAACAUUAAAGCCAAUUUGGAUGCAAAGCCUUGGCUGAAGUCCAUUUGUACAGUGAGUUUGGAGUGGACAGGCCCCUUCACUCUUUAUCAAAGAUGCGUUCUUGAAGGCGACGUUCCCUACCAGCCUGGAAGUCAGAGCGACCUGGGGACGAUUCUGGUCUUAACCUCCACGCUGCCCUUCACACAUCUGACCAGUAGUGCCGCCAGGUAGAGAGGGAGCAGCAUUUGGAGCCGGAAGAGAAAGCGUCACAUCCUGGCUCUGCUGUCGACCAUGUGUGCGACCCCUGCAAAGGCAUGGACACGCGCAGCGUGGCUUCCUGGCAGGCACGCCGCAAAGAUAGAAUUAGUGCUAAAAUGCUACACAGGCUGAACGCUUGUCAGCAGAGGUGAGCAUCCUCCUCCGCUUGUGUCUGUGCUCUCAACCAGGAGUUAGCGAGGAGGCCGCUUCCCCACCAAACCCCCCGAUGCAGGCUCAGGAUCCCUGUUUGAGAAGUGAGGAGCCUGAGGCUCAGAGAGUUUGAGUGCUUUGCCUGAACUCACACAGCAGUAAAUGGCCAAACAGAGCCUGGAAUCACGGCCCUUCCAGGCUGACGCUUCUUGUGCUACGCUUCACUAGCUCACUAGUAACUUUGCAAUAGAAUUUUAAAUUACCGUUCAGAAUGUAAUUGUUAAAUCUCCAUUUGACUAAUGAUGGUCUAUAAAAUGCAUUAAUACUUCUUAUUUUAACCGUUUAUUUAAAAAUUAAGAGAUAAAAAGUCAAUAUAAAAUUGUAUAUUAAAAUGCUUUACCAGUUGACUUCGACCGUGCCAAAGCUGCUGUUUCUGUAUGCUUUUUUUAAAGCAGAAUAUAAUUUUUUUUCUUCCAAAUGGGCAGUUUCCUUCCUAAAAGUCCUUGGUGUGCAGCAUGGAAAUGUAAGGUUCUUUGUAGUCCUGUAUCCAGUUCUUGGGACAUCAUUGGGAAUUCUUGCUACGGGACAUACGGUCAGAAAUAUUUCUGCAGGU